rnacentral:lncRNA from 1 species
GCUGUUUUGAGCUGCAGGAGCCUGGAUUCUUUGGCCUCAAGGACCAGCUUGUAGAACUCCUGCUGGGUAUGAAAAUGGUGAUAAUGUUAUUUACCAAUGCAUGUAUUUUCUGUAAAAAUUCUGUAUGUACAAAUCUCCAAGAACUGCUGGAGAUUGGUCCACCAGAGGAAGACAGCUGUGGUAAACCUCCCCAGAAGGAUAUCAAGCCCAUGGAAGUGGAUCUACCCCAAGACUAAGAGGAGACCAUGGACCCAUAUAUGGUGCAACAAUUGCAGUGGGACACCACGCAGUUUAAAUUCCUUUUUUUUCUCUCAAUGAUGGAUUCCUGAGAACUAAGACAUUCCAGAAUCCAUGAAACCAAUUCAAAUCAAGGGAGAUCUUGCAUCUAUUGAAACCACAGAGUGGAUUGGCCUCUAGAAAUUCUGCUCCCUACUUAUGAAUACUGACGCAGUGGGAUGACGGUCAGAUCUCAGGGGCUGCUCCGACCUGUCAGCCCCUAGAGCUUCUGUCCUACGUUGUCAUUUAAGUGGACCCCCUGGUCUUUCCCAGAGGCAAAGGUAGGUGUAAGAGGUGCAGGUUGUUGGUGCUUUUCAGCUGCACAGCCAGGAGCUGCAUGUGUGAACUGCGGGACAAGGUGCACAAAUGCAUUUGCCCAGGUAGGGAUGCACACCAAAGGAUGUGCUUUAGAGGCCACAACAGUAAGAAAGGGGAACCUGCCAGAGAACCUGUGUCUGUCUGUAUCCAUCUAAAGAUGAGUAUAACCUUUGGGCUAAGUUAUGGUUCUCUUGACUGUUUUCGACUGUUUCUCUACUCAUCAUUUUCCCAAUGGAUAAUAUUUUGUUUUUAAUCUCACCACAGUGACAUAGAGAAAUAUUUAUACUAUUUUCAAAUAAUGGUUAGAAAAUAUGGAGUAUAUUGGCUCUGUGUAACACAUUACAGUGGUGGCAGAGCCAAGCACUGAAUGCAGAAAUCUGGAAUCCCAGGGUAGUUUUUAACCUGCAAGGUCUUUGUUGCACUUGAAAGGAGACCACAGAGCCUAUACUGCCUCUGCUGCAGUUCUGCUGGGAAUUAUAGACAGCCAUAACCUUUAUCAUUUGGUAGCAUAGCUGAAUGUUACUGAGUAUAUCUAAAAUGCCAUGUAGAAUAAGAAAUGCUACAAGAAGUUAUUUUUCUGCUGUGAUUUGUAGAUGUUGCAUCAUUGACAUAAACAGUUGAAAAU